rnacentral:misc_RNA from 1 species
UAUCUCCCACUCGGAUUAUACUCAUUUAACUCUAUCAAAGCAGUAACAACUGCCCUGUAUAUCUCAUCCCCCCACUCCUGCUUGAGAUUUUGCAGCUUCUCAUCUUCUUCAUCUACUAUUUCCUGAUGAUUCCCUUCAACAUGAUUGAUGAUUUUAAAAGGGAUGCCAGUCUGGAUUCUUCAAAUUCUCCUGCCACAAGCUGCAUAAAGUAGUGGCCUGAACCUGAGCUUCCUCUUUUGGAAAUCUUUGCUCGCAUGUAUUUAGGAAUGCCUUUUCAUCAAUUUCUCCCAUUCUUUUUAUUCCAAUAUUAGUCCUAACAACUGAGGACAAUGUAUCUUUCAAACCCUGAAUUAAUUCUUUACGUGCCUCUUGAAGCUCAUCAUUGCUCUGGCGCUCUUUUACAAUAAGAGUUUGAUUCAGAGAUUCAACAUCAGCCAAAUCCUCUACUUUCUGCUCCAGCUCAUCAUUCAUCUCCUUCAUCUUCUUUUGAACGGCUGUAUCAUCUUGAUCACCAAGAUGCUUCAUCACCUGAAGUUUCCCUUUUAGCUCUUCAAUUUCAAGUUCCAACUUUUGUUUGGCAUCUAACUGUUUUUCCAACAGAAGUAUCUUAUUUAGAGCCUCUUCUUUCUCCCUCUUUUGCUCUUCAACCAGCCUUAAGACAUUCUCAUCAGCCUUCUUCUGCUCCAUAGAUGCCAAAUGAAGUGAAUUGUUUCUCACAUCAUUCAUUUUCUUCUCUUCAUCAAGUUUUUGUCUCUCACGCUCAGUUAGUGCUUCACGUUUGUUCAAUUCUUUGCUCCAGCAAUCAAGUUUCCUCUUCUUAGCCUCUAGUUCAUCAUUCAGAUUUUCUGCCUCUUCCAUGAUUCUGUGAAGAUUAUCACGUUGAAGCCGCUGCAUCUUCCUUCUUUCUUCAAGGAAAGCAUAGUGCAGUUUGUCUUUCUCUUCAAGCAUCCGACUCAAGGACAUGGUCUUUUCAUUGUAUUUGUAUUCGAGUUCACCCAAAUUUUCAUUUGUCUGAUCAAUUUUAUUCGCUAGGUGUGCCACAACAGUAUUUCUGCUUUCAGUUGCUUCUUGGACAAUGCCAGAAAUUGUUCUCAACUUCCCUUCCCUACGAAGAUACUCUCCUAUUGGCCCCUCAGAAUCAUGAUCAUCAGCACGAGCACACCACCCAUAUAUACUUGACCCAGGAUGUGUCUUUUGUGCUUUCCAAUCCUUUUUACCAUGAUGCAAAGUUUCAAAUGAUUUUUCAAAUUGAGUUGCAUUAACAAAGCCAUUCCAAUCAUUGUUAAAUUUCACCACAGCCUGUCCAGUUUGCUCUUGUUCACUCCAGAAAGUAUAAACUUCCAAAGGUUUAUACUGAGCAAACUUUUUCAACCAGUAUCCAC